rnacentral:rRNA from 1 species
CAGUAGCCACGGGAAUACGGAGGGUGCAAGCGUUAAUCGGAAUUACUGGGCGUAAAGAGUGUGUAGGCGGUGCUCUAAGUUCGGUGUGAAAUCUCCUGGCUUAACUGGGAGGGUGCGCCGGAAACUGGAGUGCUCGAACGUGGGAGAGGAAAGCGGAAUUCCUGGUGUAGCGGUGAAAUGCGUAGAUAUCAGGAGGAACACCUGCGGUGUAGACGGCUUUCUGGACCAUUGUUGACGCUGAGACACGAAAGCGUGGGUAGCAAACAGGAUUAGAUACCCCCGUAGUCCCUGUCUCUUAUAC